rnacentral:misc_RNA from 1 species
GCCUAAGUUAAAGUGACCCUCGUCGACAAAGUUCUGUCGGAGAAUAAUUGUACGCUCAUCAGGUAUUGCUGUAUAUAUAUACAUGUAUACUGUUGUAGCAUUAUUUGAAGUUUAUCUGUGAUUUUAUCUAUCGGGGAAGAAGAAUUUUUUUAAUGCAUGCAUUUUAAAAUUUAGGGGUUUUUUUUGGUAAAUUAAAAUGUUUAAUGAUGUAUAUAUAAAUAUGCCGGGAUAUGUCUCGCGACCUACUUUGUGAUGACCUUACAUGUAAUGAACACUGUUUGCUCUCGCCUCGGCCAUGCGGCGUAUUUCAAAACAUUUUCUGUGGAAUCCCAUAUAUAGUUAUAAAAUGAAAUCUUUUCAAAGAAAUAAUUAACUGAUUUGAUAAUCCUUAUAGACUUUAAAAAGCAUUACGAUAAAUCGUACUUAUUUUCAUAUUAGAUAAAAAUUUUAUUCAAAAAGAUAAAGUUACAAAUUUAG